GAUGAACGCUGGCGGCGCGCCUAACACAUGCAAGUCGAACGAUUAAAGCACCUUCGGGUGUGUAUAAAGUGGCGAACGGCUGAGUAACACGUGGGCAACCUGCCCCUCUCAUUGGGAUAGCCACGGGAAACCGUGGAUAAUACCGAAUACUUCGGGACUUCCGCAUGGAAGACUCGAGAAAGCUCCGGCGGAGGGGGAUGGGCCCCCGGCCUGUUGGCUUGUUGGUGGGGUAAUGCCCUACCAAGGCAAUGAUGGGUAGCUGGGUUGAGGGACCGACCAGCCAGAUUGGGACUGAGACACGGCCCAGACUCCUACGGGAGGCAGCAGUGGGGAAUCUUGCACAAUGGGCGAAAGCCUGAUGCAGCGACGCCGCGUGCGGGAUGAAGGCCUUCGGGUUGUAAACCGCUUUCAGCAGGGACGAGGCGAAAGUGACGGUACCUGCAGAAGAGGCCCCGGCUAACUACGUG
rnacentral:rRNA from 1 species